GGGCCCGUCGCCUAGCCAGGAUCAGGGCACCGGCCUGCGAAGCCGGGGAUCCCGGGUUCAAAUCCCGGCGGGCCCG
rfam:Fervidicoccus fontis Kam940, complete genome.